GUUUUGUUGAAACUUUGAAAGAAUUUAUACGCGCGGAUUUACAUUGUGAUCUGUAAGGUCGUGGACGUAUAGGGUUUAUAAACUAGGCUCCAGGGAGUGCAAAAUGCUGUUUUGAGAUGGACAAAAUGGACGACUACGGAGAACAGCUCUUUGGCAAAAGCUGCUAUGAUCCGGAUUUGUACCGAAUACCCGGAUAAAAGAAGCUUAGGUUACGGAUCCCGGAUGGUUAUAUUUUACCAUUUAAAACUCUUGAUUUCAUAGAAACGCGGUUUAUCUUUGAAGUUCGUCUGGAUAUUCCGGGAAGUUCUCAAAGGGUAAUAAAUACUUCCAAGAGGAAUAUUUGGCGAGCAGGCGGAAUACCGAGGAUGGUUGGCUUGGACAAGGCCUUGCGUUGUUAGAUUGGACUUAAAUAUGAAUCAGCAAAAAAUUAAGAUUCAUAAAGGAUUCAAAAAAGUAAAUGUGUAUAAUAAGAAUGCUU